UUAAGAAAAUAAGUGCAAGCGGUGGAUGCCUUGGCAUUCAGAGGCGAUGAAGGACGUGAUAAUCUGCGAUAAGCUUCGGUUAGCUGGUAAAUGAGCUAUGACCCGGAGAUUUCCGAAUGGGGGAACCCACCUGACACAAGUUGGGUACUCACUCGAUAUAGAGUGUAGAGCGAACGAGGGGAACUGAAACAUCUAAGUACCCUUAGGAAGAGAAAUCAAUUGAGAUUCCCGUAGUAGUGGCGAGCGAAGUGGGAAGAGCCUGGUAUGAUUUAGCUGUAAUUAUAGUAGAACAAGUUGGGAAGCUUGACGAUAGAGGGUGAUAGUCCCGUAUACGAAAUAAUCACAGUGGAACUAAGCAUACGAACAAGUAGGACGGGGCACGUGGAACCUUGUCUGAAUAUGGGGGGACCAUCCUCCAAGGCUAAAUACUCCUGAAUGACCGAUAGUGAACUAGUACCGUGAGGGAAAGGUGAAAAGAACCCUUAUAAAGGGAGUGAAAUAGAAUCUGAAACCGCUUGCAUACAAGCAGUAGGAGCAUGAUUUAGUCAUGUGACUGCGUACCUUUUGUAUAAUGGGUCAGCGAGUUAUUUUUAGUGGCGAGGAUAACUGAAUAAGGGAUCCGUAGCGAAAGCGAGUUUUAAUAGGGCGACUAGUCGCUAGGAGUAGACCCGAAACCGGCGCGAUCUAUCCAUGGCCAGGUUGAAGAUUAGGUAGUACUAAUUGGAGGACCGAACCCAAUACUGUUGCAAAAGUAUGGGAUGAGCUGUGGAUCGGAGUGAAAGGCUAAUCAAGCACGGAGAUAGCUGGUUCUCCCCGAAAACUAUUUAGGUAGUGCCUCGUGUAUAACUCAUUGGGGUAAAGCACUGUUUCGACAAUGGGGGUUUUACGACCUUACUGACUCGAUGCAAACUCAGAAUACGAUGAAGUUCGAUCACGGGAGACACACUGCGGGUGCUAAGGUCCGCAGUGGAAAGGGAAACAGCCCAGACCGCCAACUAAGGUCCCAAAGUCAUAGCUAAGUGGGAAACGAAGUGGGAAGGCCCAGACAGCCAGGAGGUUGGCUUAGAAGCAGCCACCCUUUAAAGAAAGCGUAAUAGCUCACUGGUCGAGUCGGCCUGCACGUAAGAUUUAACGGGGCUAAGCUAUGCACUGAAGUUGCGGAAUAUAUUUAGUAUAUUGGUAGGGGAGCGUUCUGUAAGCCGAUGAAGGUGAAUUGAGAAGUUUGCUGGAGGUAUCAGAAGUGCGAAUGCUGACAUGAGUAACGUAAAAUAAGUGAGAUUCUUAUUGGCCGAAAACCCAAGGGUUCCUACGCAAUGUUAAUCAACGUAGGGUAAGCCGGCCCCUAAGGCGUAGCUGAAGAGUGAAGUCGAUGGGAAACAGGUUAAUAUUCCUGUGCUGCUUAUAUGAACGAAGGAGGGACGGAGAAGGUUAGGUAGGCCUGGCGAAUGGUUGUCCAGGUGAAAGUAUGUAGGUAGGAAUGCUAGGCAAAUCCGGUGUUCUGUUGAUCUGAGAUACGAGACGAAGUUAAACUUGUUUGACGAAGCUAUUGAUACCAUGCUUCCAGGAAAAGCUUCUAAGUAUAUUGUAUAAGUGACCGUACUGUAAACCGACACUGGUGGGUAGGUAGAGAAUACUAAGGCUAUGAGAUAACUCUGGUGAAGGAACUAGGCAAAAUGACACCGUAACUUUGGAAGAAGGUGUGCCCUUGAUGGUGAUGAGACUUGCUCUUUGAGCUGUUGGGGGUUGCAGAUACCAGGUGGCUGCGACUGUUUAUCAAAAACACAGCACUCUGCGAAAUCGUAAGAUGAAGUAUAGGGUGUGACGCCUGCCCGGUGCUGGAAGGUUAAUUGAAGGGGUUAGCGCAAGCGAAGCUCUGGAUCGAAGCCCCAGUAAACGGCGGCCGUAACUAUAACGGUCCUAAGGUAGCG
rnacentral:rRNA from 1 species